UACUAGAGUAGCACUCGCAUAUCAAUAAGCGGAGGAAAAGAAACUAACAAGGAUUCCCCUAGUAACGGCGAGUGAAGCGGGAAGAGCUCAAAUUUGAAAUCUUAAAGGGUUUCCCUUUACGAAUUGUAGUUUAAAGAAGUGUUUUCUGUUGAGGUUUUGGUAAAAGUUCUUUGGAAUAGGACAUCAUAGAGGGUGAGAAUCCCGUAUUUGACCUUUACUUUCAACUUUGUGAUACACUUUCAAAGAGUCGGAUUGUUUGGGAAUGCAGUCCAAAAUGGGUGGUAAGUUUCAUCUAAAGCUAAAUAUUGGCGAGAGACCGAUAGCGAACAAGUACCGUGAGGGAAAGAUGAAAAGGACUUUGAAAAGAGAGUUAAACAGUACGUGAAAUUGUCAAAAGGGAAGCGUUUGACUCCAGUGUUGUUUUUCUGAAAAUCAAUUAAAGAACUGUUUAUGCUAAGUUGUUUAGACUUUAUCAGCUAACUGUUUAGUUUUGAGCUUUUCUUUAAUGCACUUUUCAGUUAACAAGUCAACAUCAAUUUCUUUUGCUGUAAAAAAGCUUGAGGAAGGUGGCUUGAGAUUCGUCUUAAGUGUUUAUAGCCUCUUGCCUAUGCAGUCGGAGAGAUUGAGGUCUGCAGCGUAGAUCCUUCGGGGCUAAAUACAUUUGUGCUAAGUUAUAGCAUUUUAUAGACAACUUGUUGACUAUGAUUUGUCUUGUAGCUUACUCGCUUAUGUUAGUUUUACCUACGCUUAGGAUGUUGAUAUCGCGCUCUCACUG
rnacentral:rRNA from 1 species